CCCCUCUCAGAAUGGCACCCGGAGAGUUUCCGGUACUCUACCAGUUUCGGCAAUGAGAGGGAGAGACAAGCAGAGGUAUAUCCAUUCCAUUCCUAGCUUGGGCAGUUCCUAGCCAGUGGAAGGCAAUCUGCUACAAAC
rfam:Ornithorhynchus anatinus chromosome 2, whole genome shotgun sequence.